AUGCUAGCCUAAACAGACAAUUACUUUACAAUUAUUUUUCGCCAGGGAACAACGAGCCUCAGCUUAAAACCCAAAGGACUUGGCGGUGCUUUAGACCCCCCUAGAGGAGCCUGUCCUAGAACCGAUAAUCCCCGUUUAACCCUCACCCCCUCUUGUCCUUUCCCGCCUGUAUACCGCCGUCUUCAGCUCACCCUGUAAAGGCCCAGUAGUGGACAAAAUUGGCACUGCCUAAAACGUCAGGUCGAGGUGCAGCUUAUGAGGGGGGAAGAGAUGGGCUACAUUUUCUGACCCAGCAAAUACGAAUUUUGCCCUGAAAAAGCAUCUGAAGGUGGAUUUAGUAGUAAGGAGAGAUCAGAGCGCUCUCCUGAAACCGGCACUGAAGCGCGCACACACCGCCCGU
rnacentral:rRNA from 1 species